UGGGGAAUUUUGGACAAUGGGCGAAAGCCUGAUCCAGCAAUGCCGCGUGUGUGAAGAAGGCCUUCGGGUUGUAAAGCACUUUGUCCGGAAAGAAAUCCUUGGCUCUAAUACAGUCGGGGGGAUGACGGGUACCGGAAGAAUAAGCACCGGCUAACUACGUGCCAGCAGCCGCGGUAAUACGUAGGGUGCAAGCGUUAAUCGGAAUUACUGGGCGUAAAGCGUGCGCAGGCGGUUUGCUAAGACCGAUGUGAAAUCCCCGGGCUCAACCUGGGAACUGCAUUGGUGACUGGCAGGCUAGAGUAUGGCAGAGGGGGGUAGAAUUCCACGUGUGAGCAGUGAAAGUGCGUAGAGAUGUGGAGGAAUACCGAUGGC
rnacentral:rRNA from 1 species